ACACACAUUUUCUCAAGUAAGUCACCGUAACACUUCUCUCAACUUUUCUUCAUCACCUCCAUCGUCCCACGUCCACAACAUUUCUCUCCUUUUCUCGUUCAGCAUAACAUCUGUUAAGGUUUUUGAUUUCUCAUAUCUCAGACUCAGAUGGAGUUAAUUGGGAAGCCCUCGACGCCGUCCUAAUCGAUUUCUCUAAAUCCGAAAACCUAAUCGAAGACUCCUCAGCCCCUUCAACCUCCUCCUCCUCCUACCACUCCCGCCUCCUCAUCCGCCAGAUCAGACACUCCCUCGAGACCGCCGCCAUUGACGCCGCCCUCCACCUCCUCCGCCUCCACGUCUCCUCCAUCCUCUCCGACCACAAAAUUCUCUUCCGCUUGCACAAACAGAAAUUUAUUGAGCUUCUUCGGAAGGGGACUGCGGAGGAUCGAGACUCUGCUAUCGAGUGUCUCAGGACGGCUCUCGCUCCUUGCGCGCUCGACGCUUAUCCGGAAGCAUAUGAGGAAUUCAAGCAUGUUCUUCUCGCGUUUAUUUAUGACAAGGAUGAUAAGACUUCUCCCGUGGCGAAUGAGGUUGGGGGCUUCAGAAUCAAAGCCAUAUCAAUGGAAAGCAAACAUAAGUUUUGACUGCGUUAUUUAUUUAUUUAUUUUGAUUCUCUAGGAUAUCUUCUAACCGAAAAGUUUAUUCAAAUAUUUAGUUAAUAUAUCUGUAUGCUUAAAAUUUGAAAUAAAAAUCAUUGGUUAAAAUUUGAAUUAAAGAUCAUUGGUUAAACUGAAAAAAAAAAAAAAA